rnacentral:tRNA from 1 species
GGCCGUUUAGCUCAGUUGGCAGAGCGUCGUGCUAAUAACGCGAAUGUCGUGGGUUUGACCCCCCCCCCCCCCCCUUGGCCA